rnacentral:rRNA from 1 species
GACGAACGCUGGCGGCGUGCUUAACACAUGCAAGUCGAACGGAAAGGCCCUGCUUGCAGGGUACUCGAGUGGCGAACGGGUGAGUAACACGUGGGUUAUCUGCCCUGCACUUCGGGAUAAGCCUGGGAAACUGGGUCUAAUACCGGAUAGGAGCCAUUUUUAGUGUGAUGGUUGGAAAGUUUUUUCGGUGUAGGAUGAGCUCGCGGCCUAUCAGCUUGUUGGUGGGGUAAUGGCCUACCAAGGCGGCGACGGGUAGCCGGCCUGGGAGGGUGGACAGCCACAUUGGGACUGAGAUACGGCCCAGACUCCUACGGGAGGCAGCAGUGGGGAAUAUUGCACAAUGGGCGCAAGCCUGAUGCAGCGACGCCGCGUGGGGGAUGACGGCCUUCGGGUUGUAAACUCCUUUCGCUAGGGACGAAGCUUUUUGUGACGGUACCUAGAGAAGAAGCACCGGCUAACUACGUG